GAGGUCAGUAAUGUUAGAUUCAUAAGAAGGAAUGUCAGUACAGCAUUCUUGUUUAAUGAGAAUACAGGUCUCACUUUGUGCUGAAGUGAGAAUAUUGAAAGCCAUUCUAUUUUGCAAAACCACUUUUCUCAUUUGAGCAGUUUCUUGAUUCAGCAAGAAAAUACUCAGUCUACAAUAAUUUAAGGCAGUUGCUAUGAACUUAGCCAAGUCUUGAAUUUCUAGCUUGGCACUAAUAUCAGCACACUGGAGUAAGAAAAUGCAAACAGUCCAUUCUGACCAAGACAGACUGCAAGUCCAUUGGGAGUUCAAAGCAGCCAUUGUUUACCCAUCUUAAUUUCUUUGAUUCAAGAUCAGACUAUCAUCAUGUUUACAAGGACAUAAGGAUGGCAAAAGUCUGGCAAUGUGGGGUUUCCAAUUGUCCGACUGUGGGGCAAAGAUAUAAUGGCCACUAUAACAAGAAGUUAUCUCAAGACCAACAAAUGAAGCAGGCAACUCUGUAGAAUAUAAUAGGAUUUGUUGUAAUGUAAUUUACUUAUGGAAAGAUUGGGUAAGAGCAGAACAGAUGACCUAGCAAUUCUGCAUAGAUUAUUCUCAGGUACUAAUAAUUGAUAAGACAAAGGGACAGGAAUGCAGUAAUACUGGAGGCCGUAAUUCCUGGUGGUCUUAUGAUAGAUGAUUGUUUAUAAUUGAUACCAUCACCAGUUUGAUAUUUAUUAUGGUUGUCAUGCUAUUCUGGCCAUUACUAAUAAAGAUAUUGAUGGCUACA